rnacentral:rRNA from 1 species
GGUAAGUGAGUGCCAGUAGCGGGGGUGAAAGGGUGGCGGCAAGGGUGGUUUGGAGUUAGUGGGCGGAAAGGGUGGGUAGGCGGUUGUUUAAGUUUGGUGCGAGAUCUCCCGGGUCAACGGGGAGGGUGCGCCGAAUACUGAAGGACUCGGGUGCGGGAGAGGAGAGUGGAAGUCCUGGUGUAGCGGUGAAAUGCGUAGAUAUCAGGAGGAACACCGGUGGUGUAGACGGCUCUCUGGACCGUAACUGACGCUGAGACACGAAAGCGUGGGUAGCAAACAGGAUUAGAUACCCUUGUAGUC